rnacentral:sRNA from 1 species
AUGAAUUCGUGAGGGAUAGCAGUGGAAAUCCUUUUGUGCCGGUCCCAAUAGCUAUCGGGAGGCACAAAAGAUUGCAACGGAUAGCCCGGCCCUUG